rnacentral:rRNA from 1 species
AGAAUCAACGCUGGCGGCGUGCCUAACACAUGCAAGUCGAACGGGAAAGUGGAGCAAUCCAUGAGUAUAGUGGCGACCGGGUGAGUAACACGUGACUACCUGCCCUUGAGUGGGGGAUAACCUCGGGAAACCGAGGCUAAUACCGCAUAACAUCGAAAGAUCAAAGGAGCAAUCCGCUUUUGGAGGGGGUCGCGGCUGAUUAGCUAGUUGGUAAGGUAAUGGCUUACCAAGGCGAAGAUCGGUA